GCCCGCGUGGUGGAACGGUAGACACAGGAGACUUAAAAUCUCUAGGCCCUAGGCCGUGCCGGUUCGAAUCCGGCCGCGGGCACCA
rnacentral:tRNA from 1 species